AUAUGUGGGAAUUAUGGGAGCUAUAAUUUGAGAUUUGGGUGGGGACACAGCCAAACCAUAUCACAGGCCACUGUUUUUCUUAGGUAGAUGUUAUUAUUCCCAUUUAGCAGAUAAGAAAAUAAGGCACAGACAAGUUUAGCCCCCUUGCCGAAGUACAUGGCAGAGCUGCCAGGAAAUGAUAUAUUGAGCUGGGCCCAUAGUGUUUGCUUUUACUUUUUUAGCGCAUUUAAGCCAGUGCUAGACUGGGUCGGCUUUGCUUGGCCAGGAUUUGGGACAGCAGAUUUUGUGAACAGAAAUAGCUGCUGAUUUUUUUUUCUUCCUUAUUACAGAAAAAGGUUUUCCCUCAAGUGGUUGAUGGUGCUUUCUUUCCUAAUGAGCCUCUAGAUCUAUUGUCUCAGAAAGCAUUUAAAGCAAUUCCUUCCAUCAUCGGAGUCAAUAGCCACGAGUGUGGCUUCCCGCUGCCUAUGGUAAGAAUUCCAACUGUCCAUGCUGCCACUCCCUCAAACUGAUGCAGCUCUUGGCUUCAACAGCUGGGCAUUUCCACAGAUGACAUCAGCUGUUGUAAGUGCUGGAGCCCACCAGCCAAGCACACAGUGAUCACCUUUCCUCUCUCUGAAAAAGGGGCAAUGUUUUGAAGUGGGACUAGCGAUUUUUGUCCUCAUGUUGCAGAUGAGGCCACUGAAUCACAGCUCGUGGCUUAAAAGGAGGCUCCUUAGAUCCUCAGUGGCUCCAACAAUCCCUUGCCUCCGUCUGAUACAAAGCAUCCUGGUGAGUAGCUUGGGAGGCUGCAGUACUCUAGAGACACAUGCACUUAACAGACAGCCCUGGGUAACACUCAGCGGGAGCAGCCAAGGGCACUCAGUCAUUCAACAGACCUUUACUAAGCAUAGGUGUAUUAAUCCACUCCUGCACUGCUAUUAAGAAACACUGGAGACUGGGUAAUUUAUAAAGAAAAGAGGCUUAAUUGGCUCAUAGUGCUGCAGGCUGUACAG